rnacentral:rRNA from 1 species
AUUGAACGCUGGCGGCAGGCCUAACACAUGCGAGUCGAACGGUAACAGGAAGAAGCUUGCUUCUUUGCUGACGAGUGGCGGACGGGUGAGUAAUGUCUGGGAAACUGCCUGAUGGAGGGGGAUAACUACUGGAAACGGUAGCUAAUACCGCAUAACGUCGCAAGACCAAAGAGGGGGACCUUCGGGCCUCUUGCCAUCGGAUGUGCCCAGAUGGGAUUAGCUUGUUGGUGGGGUAACGGCUCACCAAGGCGACGAUCCCUAGCUGGUCUGAGAGGAUGACCAGCCACACUGGAACUGAGACACGGUCCAGACUCCUACGGGAGGCAGCAGUGGGGAAUAUUGCACAAUGGGCGCAAGCCUGAUGCAGCCAUGCCGCGUGUAUGAAGAAGGCCUUCGGGUUGUAAAGUACUUUCAGCGGGGAGGAAGGGAGUAAAGUUAAUACCUUUGCUCAUUGACGUUACCCGCAGAAGAAGCACCGGCUAACUCCGUG